GACUAUGCUGCAAAAUGGUACUUGUC
rnacentral:sRNA from 1 species